CGACCGCAUGCGGGAGAAUCGGGAUCAAACCCGAUGCCGAAGGAGCAAUGCCCCGGAAACUCUCAGGCCACCGGACCGCAUGCGGACA
rnacentral:ncRNA from 2 species